CCCUUAGAUGUUCUGGGCCGCACGCGCGCUACACUGACGAAGUCAGCGAGCAUGUCCUACGCCGACAGGUGCGGGGAAUCUUGUCAAACUUCGUCGUGAUGGGGAUUGAUUUUUGAAAUUCUUGAUCAUAAACGAGGAAUUCCUAGUAAGCGCAAGUCAGCAGCUUGCGUUGAUUACGUCCCUGCCCUUUGUACACACCGCCCGUCGCUACUACCGAUUGAAUGGUUUAGUGAGAUCUUCGGAUUGGCGCCACUGCGGCUCAGCAAUGGGCUUGGUGGAUGCCGAAAAGUUGAUCAAACUUGAUCAUUUAGAGGAAGUAAAAGUCGUAACA
rnacentral:rRNA from 1 species